rnacentral:lncRNA from 1 species
AUGAGUGUCUGGCAUGGCAGGACAGAGGGGACGGUGACUGAUAGCGCUGUCAGGCGACUGCCACCAUGUUGGGUCAGCUGACAGACGGCUUGCCGUCGGUAUUUUUCAAUGUCUGCCAGAGAGAGAGCGAGCACAAGAGAGAGAGCGAGGAAGGUGGGGGUUACAACGUGCCACGGCAGAAGAUACUAGACGGAGAAGACUGAGCCGGCGCAACUCGGAUUUAUGUAAUUUCCCUCCCUCUGCCUAAUGCAGGGCACUUUUAUUCGCUCAAAGAAUUCCUCUAAUUCCCCAGGAGGGACGUUCCAUCGAGAGCAGAAGAAGGAGACAGGCGGGUUUCUUCUUCCCAACUCACCAGUUCCUGUUUUGACUCAGGAUCUCAUUUCUGGGCUCGAUUUUUACGCUGCGACCCUCUUGAGCCCGGGCUGGGCUGAGCAUGUACCCGAGACAUGGACUCUGGUGAGGACAGAACAGCUUCGCUGGCUCGAUGUCUCCCGACCGUGGAAUUCUAAAUAAGAUCUGCUAUGGCUGGUGACUGUCUAAUCCCAGGCUGCCACCUCAGCAAACAAGAUCAGGUCCCACCUUCUUAAGUCCACCCUCUGCGAGUGCCAGAGCUUGACAAGUGCACAGGGAAGAGAUGUUGACUCUGGACUUGCCUGAUAUGCCGAGACACUGAUUCCGCCCCUCCAGAGAUUGCGGGUCUCAUUUCGUCGGAGCACGAUGCUCAGUGUUGAUUGGAUGGGACAGGAGUCUGUUUGCCAGCGGAGCUCAGCAGACGCUAUCCGGAAGGUAGAUUUUGCAGAGGGGUGAGUUACAGAACAUCUGAAGCUUAAUCUGUGAUUUAUCCGCAGCACAAACUGACAGGCCUAAUACGGCAGAGCUGGUGAACUAUAAGGGACACAUACAUCAGAGAUGAGCAGAUGAGCAAGUUCACAAGGAAGGAUGGGACAGCGCGGAGCAGGUUUUAAACCGAUAGGCUGUUAUAAACGCUGACAGCCAUGAACUUGCAGCUAAUGAAGGGAGCCUGGCUGUCUGGUCUGGGUGUCAGCAAGAGGAAAGAAAAGGAGCAAAUGGAACAGGCCGCUGUAAUCCACCUCCCCCAAAGACUCACGCGCUUCCAUUUGCCUUCUGCCCAUGUGACUUUCAUUAAAACCCGACUGGGGGUGUGUUUGGAAGGACCUGGCAGUGGUUAAAAACAAAGGCUUCAGCUAAUCUACCAAGGGGAAUGAUUAAAUAUGUAAAUUAAAUAGCUGAGCUCAGUAAUAAUAAUAAUUUUAUAAGAACACAAUAAUACUAAUAAUUGCAAUAACAGAUGGAUAUGAUGAGAUUUGAAUCUGUAAAAAAAUCUCUAAAUUGGAUUCUGAUGCCAGUCAGGCCAUAGAGAUGGUCCUGUAAAACCCUGCAGAGCAGAGAAAGUUCUCUGAACAUCAGUGUCCAACAUGGACUUGUUAAGGAUGUGCACUCAGUAGGAUUUCAAUCUGCUCUGUGCAAAGAGUGCAAAAGGUCACAUGAUUUCAAACCUCCUCUGUUUCAGUCGUCAGGAGAGCUUUACUGCCAGGCAUCAUUAUUAAGCCGCCACAUUAAAUAUGCAGCGGAGAUUGCAAUUGCCUGAUUUCACUCAUGAAAUGUUAAUAUAUUCAUAAGGAAAUCAUACUCUUUUAAUCUUUGCUGAAGCACUUACCAGGGAGCAGCUCUUGAUUUUGUGUAUCAUUGUGCAAAAGAGCAUUUCAAAUGUUAAUUUCCAUUAUGUUCUGAAUUUCUCACAUCGUACAGCCUGUUGUUUCACAAAAACCAACGGCUUUAUCUACUGUUUUUCAGUAGAUAUUAUAUCUAUAAUAAUUAUUAUAUUUUAUAAUAAAAUUAGGAUCUGGAAGGUAUUUUUCA